UAAAGGCCUACCAAGGCGACGAUCCGUAACUGGUCUGAGAGGAUGAUCAGUCACACUGGAACUGAGACACGGUCCAGACUCCUACGGGAGGCAGCAGUGGGGAAUAUUGGACAAUGGGCGAAAGCCUGAUCCAGCCAUGCCGCGUGUGUGAAGAAGGUCUUCGGAUUGUAAAGCACUUUAAGUUGGGAGGAAGGGCAGUAAGUUAAUACCUUGCUGUUUUGACGUUACCAACAGAAUAAGCACCGGCUAACUUCGUGCCAGCAGCCGCGGUAAUACGAAGGGUGCAAGCGUUAAUCGGAAUUACUGGGCGUAAAGCGCGCGUAGGUGGUUCAGCAAGUUGGAUGUGAAAUCCCCGGGCUCAACCUGGGAACUGCAUCCAAAACUACUGAGCUAGAGUACGGUAGAGGGUGGUGGAAUUU
rnacentral:rRNA from 1 species